GAUGAACGCUGGCGGCGUGCCUAAUACAUGCAAGUCGAGCGAACGGACGAGAAGCUUGCUUUUCUGAUGUUAGCGGCGGACGGGUGAGUAACACGUGGAUAACCUACCUAUAAGACUGGGAUAACUUCGGGAAACCGGAGCUAAUACCGGAUAAUAUUUUGAACCGCAUGGUUCAAAAGUGAAAGACGGUCUUGCUGUCACUUAUAGAUGGAUCCGCGCUGCAUUAGCUAGUUGGUAAGGUAACGGCUUACCAAGGCAACGAUGCAUAGCCGACCUGAGAGGGUGAUCGGCCACACUGGAAAUGAGAUACGGUCCAGACUCCUACGGGAGGCAGCAGUAGGGAAUCUUCCGCAAUGGGCGAAAGCCUGACGGAGCAACGCCGCGUGAGUGAUGAAGGUCUUCGGAUCGUAAAACUCUGUUAUUAGGGAAGAACAUAUGUGUAAGUAACUGUGCACAUCUUGACGGUACCUAAUCAGAAAGCCACGGCUAACUACGUG
rnacentral:rRNA from 1 species